rnacentral:snRNA from 1 species
AUGUGAGGGUGAUCUGGCUGAGACAUCUGUCACCCCAUUGAUCACCAGAGUUGAUUGGGCUGAUCUGGCUGGCUAGGCGGGUGUCCCCUUCCUCCCUCACUGCUCCAUGUGCAUCCCUCCCAAAGCUGUGCACUUGGUGGAAGAGGACAAUCAUCCCAGAUAGAAGGAGUGUACCGAUCUUCGGUCAAGGGUAUACGACAGCUGCGCUCCCCUGCUAAAACCUCCAAACAAGCUCAAGUAUUGCUGUUUUAAGUGGGUGAAGGAGGGACAAGAAAAAAAAUUGACUUGACUGCAUAUCAAAUCUGAUUUUGAUCAGAUAUUUAUGAU